CGUUUUACCUGGUCAAUAUUAG
rnacentral:miRNA from 1 species